rnacentral:pre_miRNA from 1 species
UCUUAUGGAUGAACAAAGAAAGUAGCUUCCUGAGAUGGAAUCUACUCCUUGUGAAUAGGCUGUAAA